UACAGAGGAGCCAAGCGUUGUUCGGAUUUACUGGGCGUAAAGGGCGCGUAGGCGGCCACCGCAAGUCGGUUGUGAAAUCUCCGGGCUUAACCCGGAAAGGUCAACCGAUACUGCGGGGCUAGAGUGCAGAAGGGGCAACUGGAAUUCUCGGUGUAGCGGUGAAAUGCGUAGAUAUCGAGAGGAACACCUGCGGCGAAGGCGGGUUGCUGGGCUGACACUGACGCUGAGGCGCGAAAGCGUGGGGAGCGAACAGG
rnacentral:rRNA from 1 species